rnacentral:lncRNA from 1 species
CUCCAGAUCAUCAACAGAUGUACUUGAGAUGAUGUUGAAGAUCUUCUUAAGAUUUUGUGGGCUGACGACACUCGUAGCUCACUUUCUCACUUUUCGAACACCAGGCUAAAACUCUAGGGAACUCACCGGAAACCUUGCACCCACUUUUCUUUCUUUUCUUUCUUUUUCUCUUGCAAGGAUAUGGACUUCUUUCUCAUGCACAAGACUUCUCACGCCCC